rnacentral:tRNA from 1 species
AGCCUUGUACGCAAUCUGGCAAAGCGGUCUGGUUCAAAUUCAGAUGUCUAGAGGUUCAAGUCCUCUCAAGGCUA